ensembl:lncRNA
GUGUCCCUAUGGGUCCCUAUGGGUCGCUAUGGGUCGCUAUGUGUCCCUAUGUGUCCCUGUGGGUCCCUAUGUGUCCCUAUGGGUCCCAAUGCCUCUCUAUGUGUCUCUAUGGCUCUCUAUGUGUCCCUAUGGGUCCCUAUGUGUCCCUAUGUGUCCCUAUGGGUCCCUAUGUGUCCCUAUGGGUCCCGUCAGCGCUGUGUGCCCCAUAGGCGUCGCUAUGUGUCCCUAUGUGUCCCUAUGUGUCCCUAUGGUUCCCUAUGUGUCCCUAUGGUUCCCUAUGUGUCCCAAUGCCUCUCUGUGGGUCCCUAUGGGUCCCUAUGUGUCCCUAUGGGUCCCAAUGCUUCUCUGUGGGUCCCUAUGUGUCCCUAUGGGUCCCUAUGUGUCCCUAUGCCUCUCUAUGUGUCCCUAUGUGUCCCUAUGGGUCUCUAUGUGUCCCUAUGUGUCCCUAUGGUUCCCAAUGUGUCCCUAUGGGUCCCAAUGCCUCUCUGUGGGUCCCUAUGGGUCCCUAUGUGUCCCUAUGGCUCUCUAUCCGAUCUCUAUGGCUCUCUAUGGCUCUCUAUGUGUCCCUAUGUGUCCCUAUGUGUCCCUAUGGGUCCCAAUGUGUCCCUAUGGGUCCCAAUGCCUCUCUGUGGGUCCCUCUGGGUCCCUAUGUGUCCCUAUGGCUCUCUAUGUGUCCCAAUGCCUCUCUAUGUGUCCCUAUGUGUCCCUAUGUGUCCCUAUGGGUCCCUAUGGGUCACUAUGGGUCCCGUCAGCGCUGUGUGCGCCCCAUAGGCAUCGCUAUGUGUCCCUAUGUGUCCCUAUGUGUCCCUAUGUGUCCCUGUGUUGUCCCUAUGUGUCCCUAUGUGUCCCUAUGGGUCGCUAUGGGUCCCUAUGGGUCGCUAUGGGUCCCGUCAGCGCUGUGUGCGCCCCAUAGGCGUCGCUAUGUGUCCCUAUGUGUCCCUAUGGGUCCCUAUGUGUCCCUAUGGCUUUCUAUGGGAUCUCUAGGGGUCCCUAUGUGUCCCUAUGGGUC